CCUACGGGAGGCAGCAGUGGGGAAUAUUGGACAAUGGGCGAAAGCCUGAUCCAGCCAUGCCGCGUGAGUGAUGAAGGCCUUAGGGUUGUAAAGCUCUUUUGCCCGGGAAGAUAAUGACGGUACCGGGAGAAUAAGCCCCGGCUAACUUCGUGCCAGCAGCCGCGGUAAU
rnacentral:rRNA from 1 species